UACGGGGGGGGCAAGCGUUGUUCGGAAUUACUGGGCGUAAAGGGCGCGUAGGCGGUUCGCUAAGUUGGAUGUGAAAACUCUGGGCUCAACCCAGAGCCUGCAUCCGAAACUGGCGGGCUAGAGUUCUGGAGGGGGUAGCGGAAUUCCUGGUGUAGCGGUGAAAUGCGUAGAUAUCAGGAGGAACACCGGUGGCGAAGGCGGCUACCUGGACAGAAACUGACGCUGAGGCGCGAAAGCCAGGGGAGCAAACGGG
rnacentral:rRNA from 1 species